CCUACGGGAGGCUGCAGUGAGGAAUAUUGGUCAAUGGGCGCGAGCCUGAACCAGCCAAGUAGCGUGAAGGAUGAAUGCCCUACGGGUUGUAAACUUCUGUUAUAAAGGAAUAAAGUGAGGCACGUGUGCCUUUUUGUAUGUACUUUAUGAAUAAGGAUCGGCUAACUCCGUGCCAGCAGCCGCGGUAAUACGGAGGAUCCGAGUGUUCUCCGGAUUUAUGGGGUUUAAAGGUGGCGUAGAUGGGUUGUAAAGUCAGUUGUGAACGUUUGCGGCUCAACCGUAAAUUGCAAUUGAUACUGGCAGCCUUGAGUACAGUUGAAGUAGGCGGAAUUCGUGGUGUAGCGGUGAAAUGCUUAGAUAUCACGAAGAACUCCGAUUGCGAAGGCAGCUUACUAAACUGCCACUGACAUUGAUGCUCGAAAGUGUGGGUAUCAAACAGGAUUAGAUACCCGAGUAGUC
rnacentral:rRNA from 1 species